CUCCAAUGUGGUCCUAUCAUCUAUCUCCAUUAAUAGAAUGGUGUCAUAUGACCUUGAUAUGAUAUUCUAUUUUUAUACAAUGACAAUAGUACCCUUACUUUCAAUUAUUAGUGGAGUGUCAGUCAUAGCGCCAAAAAUGUCAAAGCACGUUCCUCACGUGACCCAAGGUUUGGGAUACCAAUUACCCAAAAUCAAAAGGGGAGGAAAAGAAACCUAAAUCAAACUAUGU
rnacentral:lncRNA from 1 species